rnacentral:lncRNA from 1 species
GCUAAUGAAAAGAAAUUAAAAAAUCUAAAUUAUUAUCCCUCCCCUCACUCACCCCCUCUCUAACUCACCCGCUCUGUCUCUCUAAUUCUUAUCCCUCCUCUCAGUCACCCGCUCUCUGACUCACCCGCUCUGUCUCUCUCACUCUUACCCACGAAGCUCGUUCCCCUCACACUCACCCCCAAGCUCACUGUCAAAAUUUUGCUCAGAUCUCAGCUAACACAUCAUCAUAACCGCAACGAUGACGCUAGGCUCAGGAGGAUCCAGUGUUGUGGGUCAGUUUCUUCUCUGAUCUUGCCCUUUUUUGUUCAAUCUGUUUAUGCCCUUGAUUGAUUUAUUCUCUUUGUUUUGGGUGGCUUUGUGCAGUCUUAUGAACAUUUUUUUUGGCAUAAAUGCAUGCGGGUUGCUAAGUUUGAUUGUUAAUUAGACCUGAUCCGCAAUUCUAUGCGUUUUUGAAUUUUUGAUCGCGAAAUUUAGUUAAUUUAAUUUAAUAGUGUUAGAUCAUCAUCACUAUUAAAUUAAUAGUUAAAGAAAUUCUUUUGACACGGCCUUUAUGAAACCUUGUAUGUGAUACUUUGCUUAUAAAAGUAUUUGGAUUGUUUUUUGUAUUUAUAUUUUAAAAUUACUAGAAACAAGUUAUUGGAAGUGUGAUACUUUGUGAAAUGUUAAAACCUUAUGAUUUGGUUGUAAUUUUGUUUUUGCUUAUAUAUGUUUACGUUUGUUGGCAGUAAAGCAUAUAUUGCUAAUCCAGUAAUUGCAGCUUGAUUCUAAGGUUCUUUUACUUUAUUAUGCAAGGUAACAAAAUUAAUCAAAUUAUGAAUAAAAUCUUUUACACUACACAAAAAUUUAUGCCAUUUAGUGCAAGAAAAGUUAUUUGAUUGAAAUGAAAUAAUAUAAUUGUAAAAAUUAACAAAGUCAAAUAAAUUAUACGCAACAAUCUAAAUCUUAUAAAUUCUUAAAAAUUCCUACUCUUUGUAUAUGAUAAGGUAAGAAUUUUGAGAUCAGUCUUCAGUUUGACAAAAAAAUUAUAUCCGAACUCAUAGUCUUUCCUUAGGGAAGCAAAGAAAUUCGUGACCAAUAAUGUGAUCAUAUAACCACUAGGUAAGAAAAUUAUGUAUCAUACAUAAGUCAAUAAUUAGAUUUUUUAAAAGUUAAUUACAGUAUUAUUGAAUGACAACCUAAUUUUCUCCUACCCAUGUGAGCUAAGCGCUACAUAAGAAUGAGAUUUUUUGAAUAAUAACAAAAAGUACAAGUAAAUAAAAUAUAUUUAUUUAAGCUAAAUGCUACAUAAGAAGUUCCUUUUAUAUACUAGUCUCUGUCUCUCUUCCUCUCUCUCUUUCUCUCUCAUACUAGUCUCUCUCUCUCUCUCUCAGGAGUAUUUUAUCGUACAAUCUAAGUAUUUUUUUAAGUUCAUUUUUUAAAAGAUUGGAGAGUAGAUCAAAUCUAAAUCAAUUUUUUUAGUCUUUACCUCCCCUAAAAUUCAAAAUGUAUUAACUAGCUAAAUAAAAAUACUUGAAAAUUGUUUGACUAAGUCAUUGAGGCCAUAAUUUAAACACUGAUAGAUAGUUAAAAAGUUCCAAUAAAAUAUGAUCAUCUAAUGGUGUCCUUACAGUUUUGUAACCACAACCAGUACAAUGUCUCUGUCAAAUGAAAUGUUUCUACCCAAAAUCAAUUUCCUUUUUACUAUAUGGAAUUAAUCGAUUUGGAAUUGCGGAUUUUUAAUAGAUAUAAUAGAAUACCCUAAGUAUUUUGAUAGUAUUCUAAAAUUAAUGUUGACCUUAAUGCAUGGCUUCGGGCGUCACUGUCAUGAACUUGGUCAGUCUAACAAAUAUAAUGUAACUCAUGGUAUCAUCAAAAUAUGUGCAACCUCACUUAGUAGAAACCAGAUCAGAUUAGGGCAAAUUAUCUCUGUUGUCUUGGUCAAAUCUUUUGUGACUUCAUCAAUAGAUAUAACAUGUAGCCACGCCACAAUUUUUUUUUAAUUUUAAUUGGAAUGCUUAGAAGUCUAUUAAAGAUUAUAAUGUCACCUAAUUAAGAAUAAUAUCAAUUAUUCUAUUUUAAUAUAAUAUUUAAUUAAAUCAUUGCCAUUAUUGUACUCAGUCAUGGCUCAUAUGUGGAUCCACUAAUUGUUUCGCACCGUUGAUUGAUUGUGGGACGGUAAAGAUUUGAUUAAAUUAAUAUUGGAAUUGGUAUGCGAUCUCACUAAAGUUGACUUCUAAAAUUGCAUUCUCAUUCAUUCAGAUUUAAAAAACAAGAAUGAUAAUAUGAUAGUUACUAUUUUACGUUUGAAAUAUUAUGUUUCUUCUGAAAGCUACAAAUCUCAUUUACAUUUCCUAGUCAAAGACUUAUUGAAAUAAAUUAUUUAUGCUAUUAAUUCAGUUAGUUAAGGAUAUACUUUAAAUGAUAUGACAUUUAAUCAACCAACGAUACAACAUAUAUCGAUUUAAUAUUAAGAUAUCUAAACAAAAUGAGAUGACAAGAUCAGUACUCAACAUAUAAUUUAAUUUUAAUAUAACUUCUUUCAUAAAUAUUGAUACAAUAAUAUUGUAUCAAUAUCAUGUCACUUGUUUUACUUUAUUUACUUAUUACUUAACUCUUUUAGCACUUAUACGUCACUCAUAAACUCGUAUAUAUUUUGUAUGCAUCGAAUUGUUGAGAAUAGAAUUCAUAGAGUUCAGCCCUUGUGCAUGAACUUAGGAUUUCUCUAUUAAGUUUACUUGGAUAUGAUUAUAUUUUUGUUCUAGUUUAUGACCUCUUCUCAUUUUUUUUCGAUUACAUAUGAUUUUCAUUAAAUCACUACUGUAGUUGGCAUUUCACAUCACCCGCAAUUGAUUAGUUGCUCUCUAAUCCAACAAAAUUAAUAUGGAAAGAAAUGAAUGGCCAGCGAUAAAUAUUCCAACAUUAUGCGUUACGCUGAAGAUUAAGCCAUUCCACUCCUACAAAACUGAAUCUCUUUGACAGAAUGCUUUUUCACGUGAUCAUGUAUGUGUCAAAGUUUUGUGACAGAUAUAUUAUUUUGCAGAUGUGGCAAGCACAAUCGUUUCAAAAUCUUAGAGGCCUUGAAAUUUUGAUUAUUACAAAAUCUAAGAGGAUAGUUACAAAAUUCUGUCACAAACAGUAAAAGUUAAGUGAUUCUUGACAUAAUACUAUCAAAAGAUUUAAAUAAAAUCUCACAUUUUAAUAUUUUACAAAAAUGUGUUUUAAAUAUUUUAAUUUUUUUGACAUAAUUCUAUCAAUGAACUUUCUUUUUAAAUUUUAAAUUCCACAUAGGCAUUGAAAAUCACGUAGUUUUAAAAGAUUCCAAUUAUUUAAGUGAUGUGAAUAUAUCUUCAAUAAGUCAACGACAAAAUUCUAUGAAACAAAAUUUACUAUUUUAAUUAUUUUAUAUUACCACUUCAAUAAACUAAAACAAUGACAUUUCAUAUGCUCAAAAAAGAAAAACUUAUGUAGGCCGAGUUCGUCAUCUCAUCAUAUUAAAAAGGCGUGUUCAACCAAUAAGAAUUUGCCAUCUAAAAAGUUCAAUGGGUCUUUUGAGUCUGAACCUGAGUGUUUCAGGUCGGACUCAGCCUAAGCUCGGGCAUAAAACACAAUAAAUGCUAAAAAAAAUAAAAGAAUAAAUAUUUUAUUUUUAAUUAAAAUACACUUUUUAAAAUAUGUUUAACCUAUCCAGAACAUAUAUUUAAAGUUUUAAUUCUUUAACAGAACUUUUAAUACCUAAUCUAAUAAGAAAGUUUAUAAAUUAUAAAUUUAUAGAAUUCAAUGAAAAAGGUUUAAAAAAAUUAAAGUAUAAAUAUGAGGUUUUAUUUUAUGUACCGCUGAUAUAAAAUUAACACAAAAACAUUCUGAAAUCGAAAGCUUGGAACGAAUCUCACGCCUCUCGCCUUCUCUUUCUCGCAUUUCGCAUUCCUCUUUGCCUCUCUCUCUCUCUCUCUCUCUCACACACACACACACACAUAAAUGUUAACCUCACCAGUCCUCACAAAUAAGCCGUUUGCUUUUAUCACUUGCUGGGCAAUCAUCUCCAAAAAUGAAACAACUGAAAUUCAAAUGGGAUAUUUAUUUUUCUCUCCAGAUUCUUUUCUCUGAAAUAAUGCUAAAACAAUUUUUUUUUUGUUUUUUUUGUAUAAUUUCAGCAAAGGUCCAGAUCGCUCAAGGCCUAAUUUCAUCUCAAGGUUUGUCUUUUUCCUCUUGAUUGCCUUUCGUUAUUGGUUUCUCAUGUGACAUUACUUUACUUUGUUCUUUGCUUAUUGUAAAUUUAUUCACGGUUUCUACAUUAUAAGUUACGGUCUUUGUUUACUUUUAUUAAAAAUUAUGGUAUAUGAAUAAUAAGAAUAAUAAUAAUAUUGGCUUGUUUGCGUAAUUGUCUUCGAUAUUGACUGUAUUUACAAGAUUCUCUGUGACAUAUUUCUUAUUGUGAUUGUUUAAUUAGUCUCGAUUGCAAUUUUUACAAGAUUUGAUGAAUGUUAAAAUUUAAGUAACAAUUUAAAUUUGUACACCAAGUGUUUGUU